ACUAUCGAGGCAUCUCCCUGCUGAACAAGUGGGAAAUCCAUGUUGCCCUUGUCAGAGUGCAGAUCCCAGCUGAAUGCAUCUACUCUGAAUCCCAGUGUGUAAUCAGAACUGGAAUGUUUGCAAUUGACAUGAACAUCUCAGUCCAGCAUCUGCAAGAGAAAUGCUAUGAACAAAGGAGGCCACGAUAUCUGCCUUCAGCAAUCUCACCAAGGCAUUUGACCAUGUGAACAGAGGCAGUCUAUUUAAGCUGUCAGAGAAAAUUGGUUGCCCAUAGAAGCUGAACAAUGUGACCUCCUCUUUCCAUGACAACAUGAUAAGCAAGAUCAUCCACAGAGAGUGUCUGCUUACAUAGCAAAACUAAUGGAAAGCUGUUCAGCCUUGCUUGCCUGAGAUCCAAAACAAAGGUGCAUCAAGUCCUCUUCAGAGAGUUGCUCUAUGAUGACACUGCUGCACUAGCAUUCCAUAAUGAGGUACACCUUCAGCAGCAAAUGGGCAGAUGCUCUCAUACCUGCAAAGAGCUUGGUUUGAUCAUCUGGAAGACAAAGGACAUGGUCCAGGUUGUUGCCAUACUGCUAUCUAUCAGCAUUGAUAAUGUGACACUGAAGUUUGUUGGUAGCUUCACAUAUCUAGGCUCCAUAAUUACCCAACUUGAUGCUGAAAUCAACCCACUCGUCACAAAAGCUGCAACUGUUAUGUCCAAGUUAAGUAAGAGGGUGUGGAACAACAGCAAGCUGACUGAGAACCCCAAACUGCGAGUCUACCAAGCCUGUGUCCUCAGUGCACUCCUCUACAGUGGUGAGACCUGGCCCUGGACAACAUAUAUGCUAGACAGGAGAAAAACAGUUUCCACCUUUGCUGUCUUAGACAGGAAAAUGUCACCAACUCAGAGGUCCUGGCACAUGCCAAUUCCAUCAGCUAAGUCAAUGAUGUCUGUGCUGGCUUGGCCAUGUUCAUCGGAUGGAUGA